UACAGAGGGGGCAAGCGUUAUUCGGAAUUAUUGGGCGUAAAGGGCGCGUAGGCGGCUUGGCAAGUGGAUGGUGAAAUCCCUCGGCUUAACCGAGGAACUGCCGUCCAAACUGCUUCGCUUGAGACCGGGAGAGGUGAGUGGAAUUCCCAGUGUAGCGGUGAAAUGCGUAGAUAUUGGGAGGAACACCAGUGGCGAAGGCGGCAUCCUGGACCAAUUCUGACACUGAGGAGCGAAAGCCAGGGGAGCAAACGGG
rnacentral:rRNA from 1 species